rnacentral:rRNA from 1 species
AAAACAUGUCUUUUUGAGAAUAAUUUAAAGUCAAAUCUGCCCACUGAAUUAAUUUUAAAGGGCUGCAGUAUAUUGACUGUACAAAGGUAGCAUAAUCAUUAGUCUUUUAAUUGAAGACUUGUAUGAAUGAUUUGAUGAGAUAUGAACUGUCUCUUUAUUAAAAAUAAAAUUUAAUUUUUUAGUUAAAAAGCUAAAAUUUAUAUAAAAGACGAGAAGACCCUAUAGAGUUUAAUAUUUUUAAAAAAUUAAAUUUUAUAUAAAUUUUUAAAUUUAAUUUUUUAAAAAUAUUUUGUUGGGGUGAUAGAAAAAUUUAAUAAACUUUUUUUAAAAAUUAUACAUUGAUUUAUGAAUUUUUGAUCCAUAAUUUAUGAUUAUAAGAAUAAAUUACCUUAGGGAUAACAGCGUAAUUUUUUUUUUUAGUUCAAAUAAAAAUUAAAGUUUGCGACCUCGAUGUUGGAUUAAGAUAAAAUUUAAAUGCAAAAGUUUAAAAUUUUGAUCUGUUCGAUCAUUAAAAUCUUACAUGAUCUGA